AUCCAGAGGGUAAAUAUGUGGUUGAUAUUGAUAAAAGCAUCGACAUCACUAAGAUUACACCAUCAACCAGAGUUGCUCUUAAGAACGAUAGCUACGUUCUUCAUUUAGUUUUACCAAGCAAAGUAGGUCCUCUGGUCAACCUUAUGAAAGUUGAAAAGGUUCCCGAUUCUACAUAUGACAUAAUUGGUGGGCUUAACCAGCAAAUCAAAGAGAUUAAGGAGGUAUUCAAUGGAGGUGGGGAAAGAGCUGUUGGAAGGGACAAAGAGUUUGGAAGAAAUCGUUAAGAAUGUUUGUGAAUUUGGGGGAUAUCUAUAACUAGGGUUCAUGAAGAAUGAAAUUGGGGAAGAUGAUAAUUUUGGGUGUUAAAAGAGUCAUUAAAUAUGACAGAUCUACCCUCACAUGAUCUGCACAUGACCACUUUUAACUGAAAAAUUAAACUAGGUUAUGCCAAAAGGACAAAACAUGAUAGAUUUUAAAAGAUAAAGUACAAAACCCAUCAAUUUUAAACAUAAAGGACAGCGCCUAAAAAUGGGUAUAAAGAUAAAGGACAAUCCUUGAAAUUCACUCUAAGUUUGAAUAGUGAUGUAAUACCUGAAAUCACACAACAUACAUUUAUUUAGCAAAAUGCUAGUUAAAUACAAGAAGGUUGAUGCCGAAAAGGUCUAUAGUUUAUCUCAAAAAUAGAACAUUGUUUACUUUCGUUUCAUAUAUAUGUGUGUUUUUUACUUUCAAACAAUGUAUAAAACAAUCUAUAUCUCUAAUAAAGCAAACCAUUGGGGGACACAUGUCACCCAAUGGUGCAAGCUAACUAAGCAUCCACAUGGGUAAUGAGGUGGCAAAACUCAAAUGAGAGGACAUGUGGCAUAGUUGUGGUGAGAGUAUUGGAGAGGCUUAUUAUGUACGCUUCAAUUACUCCCUCUCUCUCAAUUUUUAAUCAUCUUUCCUUUUCUUAUUCAAAACCCACUUACUCUCUCUCUCUCUCUCUCUCUCUCUCUCUCUCUCUCUCUCUCUCUCGAUGACCGUGUAAUUGGUUUCUUUCCUAAAUCAAAUUGUUGACCAUCUCUCUCAAUUAUCAAUCGCCUUCUUCCGAAAACCCUAAAACAAAAGUCAUCUGCCUCCAUAUAUCUGAAUCAACCCUGUGCGACAACCUUCAAUCCAUCUUCAAGACCCAAGACUCUAAAAUCGACGGUCUAUGGCUAUUGUUCUUUCAAAAUUGGGGUCAGAUCAAACCGGUCGAUUUUCCUCCGUAUUCGUUUCAUUUGUCUCUGACAAAAUUGAGUUUAGAUUGCAAGUUCUUUGCUUUGUUUUAAUGUUGGUUGCUCAAUAUCAUGUUAAACAUUGAUGUUCAUCUGAAAUCUAAAAUAUUGAAUCAUAUUUGAUAUUUUUUUAUAUAUGUUAAUGUGUUUAUUGCUUGAAAUAUAGAAUCAUUUCUGAAAUUUGUAUUCUUGAUUUCUGUUUUUUGGAAUCGUCUUUGAUUCUAUCGGUCAUCAAAGGGCCGUAGCCGUCUUCCGUCGGCUAGGGUUCCAUCAUGAAACACUCGCGGCGGCAGAUUCAGGGAAAGACCUAUUGAAGUUAGGGUAUUUCGAUUCCAUUGAGAGAAAACUAGAUUGAUCCUCGACAUGGCUAUAGUCAAAAUCUUCAAUUUUGUUUUGCCAAAUGGAUUCACUGUUAGAGUAGACAAGCUUUUUCUAUUGGCUUGACAUAGGGGAAGGGAAAGAGGUGGAUCGUGAAAGAUCCUAAGAACAAAGCUUCUUCAGCAAUGCAUCAAGUAUCUUGCCCCUCACGAGUUUAUGAUGGAUCUUCUCAUUUAGGCACGAGUUUAUGAUGGAUCUUCUCAUUUGGAUGAGCUUAACCUUUUACUAUGUGAAAGCUGGGAUGAAUGUGUAAGCAUGGAUCAUCUCAUGGCCAAUAACAAAGACAACCUUGAGAAUCAAAAAACACCGAAAAUAUGAAUCUAUCGAUCUCCUUCUUCACCAUUCUCGCAAAUCCCCUUCUAAUGCCAUAUGUAUAGGGAACACCGAUGGGACCCUAAGCGGCUUAUAGGAUCGGGUGGCAUGCCCUCAUCACAUCCUUUAGCUGAAAGAAUGCUAUUACACGAACUUCUUGGCCACACCCCUCCUCGGGUAAUUGCUGGUAGGUUAUUGAGGAUGAUGACAUCAACAAUUAUUUACGUGAUCUCACAUUCAGGUACAUAAUUUCAAUACGAGUAGAGGAUUGUACAGGAACCGCAAAUCUAACUCUAUAUUAGAUGAGGAUGGACAAGUUACAAGAUUGUCACUGUGAUAGAUGCGGUUACGGUACAGAAGAUGCGAAUCAAGUUUUUGUUAAUUGUAUUUGGGCCCGAAGUAUAUGGUGGCAAAUUGCGGUUUGGAUGCGCAUACCCCGUACGACUAAUAUCUGCAGUUUAAAGGAAGUGGUGAAAGCUUUGACCGGAAACAUAGGGUCGGCUAGAUGGAAGAGAGUCGUCUACACGGUUAUUCUGGCUACGGUGUGGCGAAUCUGGAAUGCAAGGAAUCUUAAAGUUUUUGAGGGGCAGUUUGUUCCAACCCGGAGAACUGUCGAUCUCAUAAAAGAAAAUGUCUUCCUUUGGAUUUCUCAUCGCACAAAGUUACCAAAGCUGGACUGGAAUAAGUGGGCUGAGUUUAAUGUUUCAGAAAUUUUGUAAUGGUUGUGCUUUUGUUUUCUGUUUCCUUUCCGUUUCUUUGUAGUUGUUUUGUCCAGUUACUCAACCCGCCUGGAUGAGAUUCAAUUGGAUCGGGAAGUAGUUUGUGCUGAUUGAUUUUUUUUCUUAUUUGGAUAACUAGAUAAGUUGGCUACCAAUGUCGAACACCUUUUUAGGAUUUGCUGAAAGUGUCAUCAUCUCAUCAGGUCAUCAGACAGGUCACUCACUUGGUGGCCUGAAAUCAAGAUAUGUUGUUGCUAAACUCUACAAUCUAUACAUACGAUUACACAAAAUCAAUUAUGCAUGUCAAGGAUAUAGAAAGAUAUGUAAGGCCAAAGCAUGGAUGAUGCAGUUGCAUGUUGUAUAUCAUUUGCAGAGAAAAAGGAAAAGACUGAAACACAACACACUGAUGCUUGAUAUAAAGGGACCAUAAGAUGGCAUCUAAAAGGAUGCUUGAUAUAAAGGGACAUUGAUGCGUGAGAGACAAGAAACAUUUAUGUCUGACAACUUAAUAACGUAAGACAAAAGACAUUUUGUUAGUACUUUUCAUUAUAUUAUUAAGGUAUCAAAAUGUUUAGUUAGUGCAUAAUGUGCCACUUACAUAUAUUUCUUGUGACGUCAUCAUGUAAUGUGGCCUCCCACCCAUUGAAAAUUCUUAUGUGUUCAACCCGUGUAUCAUA